rnacentral:rRNA from 1 species
AGAGUUUGAUCCUGGCUCAGAUUGAACGCUGGCGGCAGGCCUAACACAUGCAAGUCGAGCGGUAGCGGGAAGAGCUUGCUCUUUGCCGACGAGCGGCGGACGGGUGCGUAACACGUAGGAAUCUGCCCGGUAGUGGGGGAUAGCCCGGAGAAAUCCGGAUUAAUACCGCAUACGCCCUAAGGGGGAAAGCAGGGGAUCUUCGGACCUUGCGCUAUCGGAUGAGCCUGCGUCGGAUUAGCUUGUUGGUGGGGUAAAGGCCUACCAAGGCGACGAUCCGUAGCUGGUCUGAGAGGAUGAUCAGCCACACUGGGACUGAGACACGGCCCAGACUCCUACGGGAGG